AACGAACGCUGGCGGCAUGCCUAACACAUGCAAGUCGAACGAGACCUUCGGGUCUAGUGGCGCACGGGUGCGUAACGCGUGGGAAACUGCCCUUAGGUUCGGAAUAACUCCCCGAAAGGGGUGCUAAUACCGGAUAAUGUCUUCGGACCAAAUAGUUAUCGCCCUUGGAUGGGCCCGCGUGGGAUUAGCUGGUUGGUAGGGUAAAAGCCUACCAAGGCGACGAUCCAUAGCUGGUCAGAGAGGAUGAUCAGCCACACUGGGACUGAGCCACGGCCCAGACUCCUGCGGGAUGCAGCAGUGCGGGAUAUUGGAAUGUGGGCUGAGGGCUGAAGCACCUCUGGCGCGAGAGUGAUGUAGGCCGUAAGGUAGAAAAGCGCGUUUACCCGAGAGUAUAAUGACGGUACCGGGAGAAUAAGCUCCGGCUAACUCCGUG
rnacentral:rRNA from 1 species